CUGUGACUAAAAAAAAUAUGACAAAUUCACUCAUGAAACAAAAAAAAAUAACAAAAAUGUGGCAAAACUCCAUUGUUCCACUUUUGCACCCAUACAAAAAAUUAUAUUUUCUCCAUUUUUUUAGUAGUCUGUCCACAAUCCUUUUACUUUUUUUAACGCAUUCAGUCUUCGAGGCAUGCUCUCAUACAAUUUUUGUAAGAAAUUUGGCGAAAUUGAGUACCACUCGUCCUCGACGCGCUCCCAAAGCUCCUACAUGCCUUUUGGUGGAUUCUGGUAAUUUGCCAGUUGCCGUUUCAGAUAACUCCAUAACCCUGCAAGACGGAGGUAACAGAUUGCACAAACACAUUGAAACAUUUUCAGCUGUUCACUAACACUGUUACAUUUUCUGGAAUUUUCAAUGGAAUGGGAGAAUACGUAAGUAAGAUAGAGAAAAACUAUCGACAUUAUAAACAUAUUGUAAUGUUAACUUGUUAGAAUAGGAGAGGCGAAUACCCAAUAUUUCAAGAAGAAUAAACGAAAAGCGCAGUUUAUUUUGGAUUUUAAAGAGAGAAAACGAAAAUGGUUAACAAGGAGAAAAAGAAAUCAUUUGGACCAUUGGUAAAAUUCAAAUCUAUUGCGUGCAGCAACCAAAUAAUGGAGUAUGUUUUAAAUUAUUAAAGUUAAAUAGUGUAUAUUUAAUUCAAAUAUUUGUUAUAGAUUGUGCAUUUUAUUUUGAUUUUAUUAUUAAAUAAAGAGAAAUAAUAAAAAAA